GACGAACGCUGGCGGCGCGCCUAACACAUGCCAGUCGAACGAGCGAGAGAGAGCUUGCUUUCUCGAGCGAGUGGCGAACGGGUGAGUAACGCGUGAGGAACCUGCCUCAAAGAGGGGGACAACAGUUGGAAACGACGGCUAAUACCGCAUAAGCCCACGGUGCCGCAUGGCACAGAGGGAAAAGGAGCAAUCCGCUUUGAGAUGGCCUCGCGUCCGAUUAGCUAGUUGGUGAGGUAAUGGCCCACCAAGGCGACGAUCGGUAGCCGGACUGAGAGGUUGAACGGCCACAGUGGGACUGAGACACGGCCCAGACUCCUACGGGAGGCAGCAGUGGGGAAUAUUGCACGAUGGGGGAAACCCUGAUGCAGCGACGCCGCGUGGAGGAAGAAGGUCUUCGGAUUGUAAAAUCCUGUUGUUGGGGAAGAUAAUGACGUUACCCAACAAGGAAGUGACGGCUAACUACGUG
rnacentral:rRNA from 1 species